rnacentral:snRNA from 1 species
GGCGCUUAAGCGCGCGACC